rnacentral:tRNA from 1 species
GGAGGAGUGGCCGAGUGGUCGAAGGCGCUCGCCUGCUAAGCGAGUGUGCGGGUUAAAGCCCGCACCGCGGGUUCGAAUCCCGCCUCCUCCG